AGUGGAUUUCCUAUGUGGGGCCCAAGUGGUCACAAUGACUGUUGGAUUGGAUGGCUCCACCAUCGAUCAUAAAUGGCCCAAGAUGUACCCUUACUGGAUGAUUAUGUCCAUUUGAAUACGGAACUGUAAAAUGGAAAUAAUGAGCAUUUUUCAGGACUUGAAUGGCCUAUGAUCAUUGGUGAGCCCUUGGGGCCCAUGUAGGGAUUUGCAUCAUGAUACUAAGGCAAGAAGAAUUCUCAUUGCUCCUGUUUCUAUUAUUUCUAUAUUUUCUUUCUUUCUUGAUUUUUGUAGGCAUUUUUUUGGUUUUCUAAUAAAGUUGCUUUCUUUUAUGCACAACUCCAAUAAUAACUUUGUGCUCGAGCUGGACUUUUCGCCCUUCACUUAUUCUCUUUUCCUCAGCCUACUCUGUCAAAAUCCACUGGCAAUGGUGUAGAGUUCCUAAAUCAGCACAUUUCUUUGAAAAUGUUUCAUGACAGAGAGAGCUUGUGUUGUUUGUGUUGUUUUCUAUGACAUAUAUGCAAGGAAUAGAUUAUAAAUUGGUAAAAUGGGAGCCUUCAUAUCAAGAUUGACACAUUCUUUAUUCAUUUGCUAGCCUUUUUAUUAUGUUUUCAUGUUUUUUUUUUUCUUUUGUCUUAACUCUCUCUUAGUAUUGGAAAAAAAUGCAUAGGAGUUGUUUGUUAAAACCUCAAAGAAAUGUGAUUUUGUGGAGAAUGGUAUGCUUUUAGUUUGGUUCUACUCUCUCUCUCUCUCUCUAACUUCUUGAAAUGUGGAAAAAGCAAUGGAUGAUGAUCUGUCUUGGUUGAAUGGUUUGAGCCAUGAAACCAAUGAAUGAUGUUCAGGAACCCAUAAAUAGUUGGUUAUGGACACUGAUUCUGUUUUUCCUCUGUAUUGGGCAGGAAUACUUGCUAAUGUUUCAGAGGCUUGUAAGCAAGAUCUUGACUUUAUGUGUCCCAACCAUUGCAGUAAUUCGAGGACACGUAGUUGGCGCGGGCUGCAUUUUUGCAUUGGCACAUGACUAUCGGCUCAUGGCCUCUAACUAUGGUUAUAUUUUCAUGAAUGAGAAAAUGAUUAAAAUCACCAAGGGUGCAUUUGGAUGUGUAAUUGAAUUGAAUUGCAAUAACAAUUGAAUAUGUUCAUUCAUGACCAAAUUGUAAUUACAUUUUAUUUUUUUAAAGUCAUUGCAAUUGCAAUUUGGAGCCUAGUUAUCAAUACUUGGGAAGGUAUAUGCAAUUCAGAAGUUAGAAAAUAACUUAAGUUUAAUUUUCAUAUCCGCUUUCAAUAUACCAUGGCCACGCUGAAGUUUGGAUUGAAUUGCAAUUGUUAGUAUAAUAAUUUCUAAAUAACUGAAUUGUGAAUUUCUUAGGAGGUGUUUGGUUGUUGGUUUUUAUAUUUUCCAGCUUAAAAUUUCUCUGAUUUUUACAAAAUUUAUGUUUAGUUCACAUUUUUUUUGUUUGUUUUUACAUUUCAAAUUAUGAAUUUCUUUGAUGUGUUUGGCUGCUGCUAUUUAUAUUUCUUAGUUUAGACAUUACCUGAUUUUUUAAAAGUCAUGUUUAAUUUACAUUUUUUUGGCCUAAAGAAUUUAAACAUAAAUUAAGACAUUUCCUAAGUUUUUGUAUCAACUAAACAAAAUUAAUUCUUCAUCAAUAAAUAUUACAGGCCCUUUAGCAUCCAUUUCGAAUGGUAUACAUACUCAUUGUGGAAACUGGAAAAUCUUUGUUUGGAAUUCAAAUCACUUGUGCAUCCAAAAGCAGCCUAAAUCAGCUUAACUCAAUUAGGAAAUAGACAUGGAUACUCUCAUUUCUUAUUUCCUUCUUUCUGAUAACAUCAUCAAUGUAUGUUGAUUUGGGGUUGCCAUUGACACCGGGGAAUGUGACUGUUCUCCAGCUCAAGCUAAAGUGAGGAAGGCAUUUUAUACAAAUGUUCCUGAUGAAUAUUUGCAAGCUGUUGAAGAUCUAGUUGUCCCAAGGACUGAAUUUGGUAAUGCAUCAGAGAAAGAGCAUUACCAUGUGAAGGUGCUUGACAAACAUGGAGUGACUCUUUCAUGCAAAUGUUCUACAACAGAAGAUGGUGGAAAACUUGAGCUUCAUAAGGCAAGUA